AAGCAAAUGAUGGAAAAAUCUCUAUUUGGGAAAGAAUGACCUAAAUAAAGGAACCACUUUGUGCCA